rnacentral:ribozyme from 1 species
GAAAGAAAGAAAGAAGGAAAGAAAGGAAGAAUGAAAGAAAGAAGGAGACACCGUCUUUUGUUUGUUGGUUU